ACUGUCCACAGUGUCCUGAUGGAGAGAGCAGGCUCACCUGUACCCAGCUGUGUUUCCAUGAAGAGUGACAGGUCAAUGGACCCACCAAUGAGCUUCAGAGAGGGACCUUUUCCUACAGGUCAAAGGGACCGAGUGAAUAGAUGUAAUUCACAUCCACAUAAAGGAGACUUAUCAUCCAUCUUCAAGUUACUGGAGGAAAAAGCUCAAACGUUUCUGAAGGAUGAGCUGAUGAAAUUCAAAAGGUACCUGGAUCAGAAUGACCCAGAAUGCUCUGAGCUUCAGCUGGAGGAGGACAAUGACCUGGACAGUG